AGGCACAUCAAACUUGGACCACAAAAGUUUUGAGGUAUCACUCAGAAUUGCACUGAAAGAAAUUUGUGAGGUUAAGGAAUGGGUGAAAAAGCUUAGUGAGUCAUCAGGAGUGAGUUGGAGAGUGGCAGUGACCAAACCAAGUAAGGGACAACGUGUGCUUUAUAAGGCUCAUUAUAGGUGCCAGCAUAAUGUUUGUGUCCGAUCAGGCAUGGCUAAUCAAAGACGGCUGUCAAAAAAUACACAAUGUGGGGCAAAAAUGGUUUGCACUCUGGUAAAUACUGUAGACACAAGGGGAGCAUCUAGUAGGAGCAAAGAUCCCCAUAUACCCACCUACCCAACCUCUGUGCGUUUGUACAAUGUACAUAAUCAUAACAUCUUUGUUGCGGAGGCACUGAGGCACAGGGAUGUGGGAGUAAAGGCAAUUGAGACCCUGACUCAGUUGUUUGAGAUUGGGCACAACCCAACCUCAGCUCUGGCUGUACUUAAAAGUGACCUGCUGGCUGAGCAUGGAAACAAAUAUGUAUAUGCCUCAGCCAACCGUACCCUUUGCCCAGACCUUCAG